rnacentral:rRNA from 1 species
ACAGCAGCAGCCGCGGUAAUACAGAGGGUGCGAGCGUUAAUCGGAUUUACUGGGCGUAAAGCGUGCGUAGGCGGCUUCUUAAGUCGGAUGUGAAAUCCCUGAGCUUAACUUAGGAAUUGCAUUCGAUACUGGGAAGCUAGAGUAUGGGAGAGGAUGGUAGAAUUCCAGGUGUAGCGGUGAAAUGCGUAGAGAUCUGGAGGAAUACCGAUGGCGAAGGCAGCCAUCUGGCCUAAUACUGACGCUGAGGUACGAAAGCAUGGGGAGCAAACAGGAUUAGAUACCCGGGUAGUCCCUGUCUCUUAUAC